rnacentral:rRNA from 1 species
UCCGUAGGCGGGCAAUUAAGUCAGAGGUGAAAUCCCACAGCUCAACUGUGGAACUGCCUUUGAUACUGGUUGUCUUGAGUUGCAGUGAAGUAGAUAGAAUAUGUAGUGUAGCGGUGAAAUGCAUAGAUAUUACAUAGAAUACCGAUUGCGAAGGCAGUCUACUAACUGUAUACUGACGCUAAUGGACGAAAGCGUGGGGAGCGAACAGGAUUAGAUACCCUGGUAGUCC